CACGCCUCCAAGUGGCAGCCACGCCUCUCACUGAAGGCCACGCUUCCCGGGGGCAGUCCCUCUUUGGGGACUUCUUCAGGCUACCUUUUUAGCUUUACAAGUGUCAGGCGUCAAUCCUAAUCCUUCCUUGGUUUCCAUUCCCGAAACUCUGCCCCUCCAUCUAGGCUCCCCUCCUCUUCGUGAAGCCAUCAUGUCCCUCGCUGCCUGACCUCAUUGCCCGUUUCCCCCGCGACAGGCCUGUGAUGUGAGUCGUGGAGGCCUGCGAGCCUUCAGGGGGGUAGGACGGGCCCAGCAGCUGCCCAGGAAGAGGGAAGGAACAAAGCUCUAAAGUCUGUGCCAUCACCCAGUACCUGGAAAUCGGGGAGGGGGCAGUGGAGAUAGAGGAGGGGCAAGUAGAAGGUUGCAGCCCUGCCUAACCUCCCCUGCCCUGAUGUAGCCCCAGCUCCCUAGGGAAGGCAGAGGCUUCCCAACCCCCUUCCCCCACACUCCUGCCUGGCAGCAACGAUUUAAAAUCUUCUUGAGUCCUGGAGGAACUCAGUUUCUCCAAUGAGUCAAUUCCUACAGCCUGCCCCACGCCUUCUGAUGGUGUGACAUAGAGAGAGACUGCCCUGCUCAGCUGGUGGGCCUGCCUCCAGCAGAAUCAGGCUCCAGGGUCCCCUUCUCAGAGUCUGGGGUCUGCAGGAAGCCCCUGUGCCAAGUGGCUCUCGCAGCUGGCCUCAGCUAGGACCAUGGACACAAGUUCAGUGAUGGGAAAGCGCCUCCCCCAGCUCUCCUGUUUCUGGUCUCGUCUGUUUCUGCCAGCUCCCAAGAGGAUAAUACAGCCUCCCUGUGGAAACAACAGCUCUGGCCAGCAGGCUCUGCGCGGUCUGAAAAGCCCACUUCCACCCGAGUAUCAGCCAGGUACCAGAUGGAUAUUAUCCCCAUUUGACAGAAGAAACUGAGGCUCGGAGAUGAAGACACAACUGCUGAGUGUUAGGAGACAGUUAUCCUUGGACCUCUCACGUUAUGUUCUCUUGUGAACAGACUUGCAGGCACCUUUGUCGUGGUGAAUAGCAUUGAAUGGCAUAAUGCCACCCUCUGCAGUCAAGGGUAGGCAUGCUGUCCAUUUUUAAAAGAUUCAGGCUCCCUUAUCUCGGGGUUUUUUUUUCCCUUACACACCCUACAAUGUAAGCCCAGGUAUCACCUGGCCCUCUUUGCAAUGCCUGGUGGGAACUGUGGCUUAAGGAACAGUUGCAAAAACAACACCACUCUGGUUACCCUGGAUGCUGUGAUAAAGAGUCCCGUAUGUCUGACUGGGUAAGUUUCAUGCCUUCUGCUAACAUCAAGGAAACUAUGUCAGGGCAGGCUAACUUCUUAACUUGUGGUGGACUGGGCACCUUAAUUUACAUCUGUUUUGAAAACCUGUACACUUAGGAGAUGGAUAAGCCAGAGGUGAUAUUAAAACAAAGCAAAAUACAUAUUCCAGAUCAAUGAUUGCUUUUCCCCUAGAUAGAAAAUAACAAUACAAAUCAGUUCCUGUUUCAUUCAUUCAUCUUUUUUAUGAGCUGAAUAAACAAAUUCAAUCUGCAACA
ensembl:lncRNA